UACGUAGGGGGCGAGCGUUGUCCGGAAUCAUUGGGCGUAAAGAGCGUGUAGGCGGCUUGGAAAGUCUUACGUGAAAGCCUGCGGCUCAACCGCAGAAGUGCGUAGGAAACUUCCUCGCUAGAGUCCGGAAGAGGAGAGCGGAAUUCCUGGUGUAGCGGUGGAAUGCGCAGAUAUCAGGAAGAACACCCGUGGCGAAGGCGGCUCUCUGGGACGGUACUGACGCUGAGACGCGAAAGCGUGGGGAGCGAACAGG
rnacentral:rRNA from 1 species